AUUGAACGCUGGCGGCAGGCCUAACACAUGCAAGUCGAGCGGAUGAAGGGAGCUUGCUCCUGGAUUCAGCGGCGGACGGGUGAGUAAUGCCUAGGAAUCUGCCUGGUAGUGGGGGAUAACGUCCGGAAACGGGCGCUAAUACCGCAUACGUCCUGAGGGAGAAAGUGGGGGAUCUUCGGACCUCACGCUAUCAGAUGAGCCUAGGUCGGAUUAGCUAGUUGGUGGGGUAAAGGCCUACCAAGGCGACGAUCCGUAACUGGUCUGAGAGGAUGAUCAGUCACACUGGAACUGAGACACGGUCCAGACUCCUACGGGAGGCAGCAGUGGGGAAUAUUGGACAAUGGGCGAAAGCCUGAUCCAGCCAUACCGCGUGUGUGAAGAAGGUCUUCGGAUUGUAAGGCACUUUAAGUUGGGAGGAAGGGCAGUAAGUUAAUACCUUGCUGUUUUGACGUUACCAACAGAAUAAGCACCGGCUAACUUCGUG
rnacentral:rRNA from 1 species